UUUAUUCCAAACAUAACCUUAUAAACAAACAGUUGUUUAUUUAGAGUUAUUUAUUAUUGUUUUCUGAUAUUUUGCAAUUGUUAAGUUGGUUUACUUCGAAUUUAAUAUGCAUUACUGUGGUAUUUUUCCAGUUUUCUAAGAAGGUUGGUGAUUUUGAAUUGGGGUUAUGAUGAAUUUAACCCAAAGGCAAUGUGUGUUUAUUUAUGUGGCAAAAUUCCAGGCACCAUAAAAAUUUGAGUUUCUUCCUGUUGCCCAUGGAUGAAAAUCGGUUUGCAGAAUGAAAAGAAAUUGUUCAAUGUGAUAAACUUUCUAUGAACAGUCCUCAAUAUUGUUACAUUAACUUUUAAAUAUGCACUUUACAUCUUGAGGAGCAGGCCUUUGCAGAAAUACUGAAAAGCGGGUUGCAAAACAACGCAAAAUAAAAUAAACGAAAUAUGUCUUGAGAUUAAAGAUUCAAGUUGAAGGUGUGUUCUUUCUUAAACUGGAAUGAUAAUUUUGUAAUUCUGUAGGCACAUCUAUUGAGAAGUUACAACCAGUGGCAAAGUGCCUUAAGGGAAUCUAUGACAUAUAAUUGAAGGGACAUCUCCUCUGAAGGAAUUACAAUUAUUUGCCAGUAUGUCAAAUGAAUUUUCAACAUCAGUCAUACUUUCAUGAAUUUAGUGAUGAAAAUAAAACUAGGUACAUGAUUUAUUAUUUACUUCCAAGGGAUUCUAAGAUACUAUGUGUAAAAAGUCCAAUAUGCAGUGAUGAGCAUGCUAAUAACUGGCAAAAUAUGGGAUAUAACGCCAAAGAUGGGAAACAUGGGAUGCAUUCUGAAGUAAAAAGAGAUGAAACUGAGAGAAAUGAUCGAUAUAAACAUAUAAAUUAACAUUACAUUACAUAGUUUCCCACCUUUAGACAUAUCAGAUGAGAAUUAGAACUGUCACUGUGCCAGGAGAAUUUUAUAAAAUACUCCUGUCACAGAGAUCUAAAGGUGGGAAACUAUGUAAUGUUAUCGUCGGCUAAGAGUGUUAACCUGCUAACUCCAUUUUUCACUGUGAGUGAUAUUGGGGUAGUUUCUAGGUCUGUGUACCUUCAUACCAUGUCCCACAAGCCCGCUGGUUCCACUGUAGUUUAGAGAUAGCUAUUUCUAAACUACAUUGGUGUCGGCGGGUUUGUGGGGUGGUGUAUGAAAAUACACGGACCCAGAAACUAGCCCAAUAUCACUCAAAGUGAAAAAUGGAGUUAGCAGGUUAAAACUCUUAUCCAAGGUUAUGUUAAUUUAUUCGUUUAUAACGAUAAGUUCCACUUCUACCAGUUUCAUCUCUUUUUAUCUCACAAGUUAAUAUGUUUUCCAUCUUUUGCGUUAUUUUGCCGGUUAUUAGUGUGAGUGCUCAUUACUGUAUAUUUACGAUUCUGUGAUUUCUCAAUAUGAUGCUGAGUAGGUAUAGAUCUGAGUAGGUAUAUAGUAGGUAUCUACAAUCCUUUCAAAACAGAAAUUUAUAAGUUCAUUUUAUGUACCUAUUAAACUUUAUUUUAAGGAUGAAUUUGAAAUGCUUGUAGGGAAUAUAUCUGUAAAAAAUAAAAUUGGUAUUGUAAAAUUGAAAUUCUCAAAAUAUAAUUUAUAAUUCGAA